rnacentral:lncRNA from 1 species
UUUUGUUGCCAUAUUUUUGUAGCUCAUUAAAUUAAAGAACAACCGAAUCAAACCAAUGGAUACAUGUUCCAAUCUCAAAUGAGUAUAAUAUAGAUCAAAAAUAAAUCUAGAGCAAGAAUGAGAAAAACUCCAUUAGAGAGUAUCAAGAAACUCUUAGAAGAAGAAACUAAAGAACUUUAUGAUAUUUUCUGAUUGAAUCUCUUUCUCUGUAACGUUAUGCACUUGUAUUGUUUCUCCCGCUGAACGUCAUGAUUCACUCAUCUUCUACCAUGUAGCUUCUUAGAGCAUCUGCAUCAGUAAACUUCAUCAGAGCCGGCUCAAUAGUGUUAUGGGCUCUAGGGCGAAAUAUUUUUUUUUUACUCUCUAAAAUUUAUAUAUAGAUAAUGUUUAAAAUAUUUUUAAAAUUUAAUCAGUAAUAUUUUGUAAUGAAAAUAAAACUAUCUACAUAACAAAUAAUUUGGACCCUUUUCAAUUUUAUUUAUUAUAUUUAUAAUUUUUUAUAUAUCAAAAUAUAGAUUUAUAAAAAAUUAGGCCCCUUAAUUAGUAUUAUACGGGGGGAUACGGGCUUGGACCCGGGGCAGUCGCACCGCUUGUCCCCCCUAAUAAGCCGGCACUGAAUUUCAUGGGGAAUUCACACAGUUUUCGAAAAAAAAAUAUUAAAAUAAACAAAAGAAGUGAACCUGUCUCCUGCGAGGUCACUGCACUGAACCCGGGUCAUCACUGUAGCGCAGGUCCCACGGCACGUGACGGCCCACGAUUGAUCCGAUUAAUUAUUAUUAUUUUUUAAAAACAAAAAUCAAACAGAAAAAAAAUAAUAAAAAAAUACUUUGUGAACCCCUUCCAUGGGUUCACUGAUGCAGAUGCCCUUAUGAUUUCUUCUUAGUGAUACUGACCAACAACUAUGCCACAUCAUCUAGUCUUUACUUUAUUUCUUGUAUCAAAUGUUUCUCUGUUGGAGAGAAGAUUCCAUAAUGGAAUACAAAACUGACUUAAGACUGUGGAAGGGUACCCGGUAAUGACCGGGGGGAAGCAAACAAGUAAUAUAUAAGGAACUUAGGUCAAUCCAAUUACCGCCAAUUGGUUUUAAGUUAAAAGUUCAAGAAACUAAAUAUGAUAUCAGAGAAGGUUCACACCCGGUCCCAUUAUCCGGCCCAAAAAGUGGCACGACCAAUCCAUUAAUUGAUGGCCCAAUAAGGUUCAAUUCCGCCGAAAUAGAUAAAAAGAGCAUUAGCUGGGAGGGAGUACGAUGAAGUUUGUCGAUAUUAACUGUUAUAUACACCAUUAUCUCGAGGGAGAGUGUUAGAAAGAUGA